CCCUGUGGCUCAGUUGGUAGAGCAUGGUGUUUGCAACGCCAGCAUUGUGUGUGCAACGCCAGGGUUGUGGGUUCGAUUCCCACAGGGG
rfam:Salmo salar isolate Sally breed double haploid chromosome ssa15, whole genome shotgun sequence.